rnacentral:tRNA from 1 species
AAUGAGAUGCCUGAUAAAAGGAUUAUUUUGAUAGAAUAAAUUAUGUAAUUAUAUUACUCUCAUUA